GACAAAUAUAUAGGGAUGUCCUCGACCAAAGAAACUCUUAGUCGACUAACACUCAUACGAUUUUGGCGACAAAUUGCUUACUUGAUUUAAUCGUCAGAAGUGUAAAACUGAGUUUCUCCAAUAGAAUCACAAAAGAGCACCACUUUAAAUCUUGUGUUUAUCAGAGAUGUGCUCUUAAGUUUCUUGGCAAUAAGUCGUUCAGCAUGAAAAAAGCAUAAAAAACGACUGAUCGACUAAAGAAAUCUUAGUCGACUAAGAUCAAAACGACCGAUUAGUUGACUAAUCAA